rnacentral:rRNA from 1 species
UACGAAGGGGGCUAGCGUUGCUCGGAAUCACUGGGCGUAAAGGGUGCGUAGGCGGGUCUUUAAGUCAGAGGUGAAAUCCUGGAGCUCAACUCCAGAACUGCCUUUGAUACUGAGGAUCUUGAGUACGGGAGAGGUGAGUGGAAUUGGGGGUGUAGCGGUGGAAUGCGUAGAGAUCCCCAAGAACACCAGUUGCGAAGGCGGCUGACUGGACACAUAUUGACGCUGAGGCUCGAAAGCAUGGGGAGCAAACAGG